rnacentral:lncRNA from 1 species
CAUUAGAGUCUUCAAAAUUUACAUAAACAGUAAAAUCAGUCUUUGGUAUGACUCAAUAUUAUAGUUUGUUAAACAAUUAGGCAGUCAUGAGAAAUUACGUUUAAGUCAACUAUAAAUAAUGAAACUUAGUAGAUGGAAAAGUCCGUAAGGAUGGAUCUGAAAUUGACGAAGACCGAAGAUACAUUAGAUGGAAAAGUUUAGAAGCAGUGGCGAGAUUUUUCAUCGCCUCUCUCUUGUCAUAUUUUUUUGGACGAGAAUACCGCCACUUGUUCUAAACUUUUCCUUCAAAAUUAUCUUCCAUCCUCGUCAGUGUCAAAUCAAAUGCAUCCUUAUUUUAUCGCCAAGUAAAGGAAAGGGACCUGCUGAUGCUAUUAGAGCUGGCAAAAUCGGUUAUUGGGUCGUAUUUAUGUCGUGUCAGUUUCGUGUCGUGUCAAAUUUAAGUCGAUUUAAAUUCGAUCUAUUUAAUAAUUGUGUCAAAAUAUUGAGACUCAAA